UACGUAGGGGGCAAGCGUUGUCCGGAUUUAUUGGGCGUAAAGAGCGUGUAGGCGGCCAGGUAGGUCUGCUGUGAAAACUCGAGGCUUAACCCCUGGCUUGCAGUGGAUACGGACAGACUAGAGGUAGGUAGGGGAGAAUGGAAUUCCCGGUGUAGCGGUGAAAUGCGCAGAUAUCGGGAGGAACACCGGUGGCGAAGGCGGUUCUCUGGGCCUUACCUGACGCUGAGGAGCGAAAGCGUGGGGAGCGAACAGG
rnacentral:rRNA from 1 species